rnacentral:rRNA from 1 species
AACGAACGCUGGCGGCAUGCCUAACACAUGCAAGUCGAACGAGACCUUCGGGUCUAGUGGCGCACGGGUGCGUAACGCGUGGGAAUCUGCCCUUGGUACGGAAUAACAGCGAGAAAUUGCUGCUAAUACCGUAUAAUGACGUAAGUCCUAAAGAUUUAUCGCCCAGGGAUGAGCCCGCGUAGGAUUAGCUUGUUGGUGAGGUAAAGCUCACCAAGGCGACGAUCCUUAGCNGGUCUGAGAGGAUGAUCAGCCACACUGGGACUGAGACACGGCCCAGACUCCUACGGGAGGCAGCAGUGGGGAAUAUUGGGACAAUGGGCGAAAGCCUGAUCCAGCAAUGCCGCGUGAGUGAUGAA